rnacentral:rRNA from 1 species
AGAGUUUGAUCCUGGCUCAGAAUCAACGCUGGCGGCGUGCCUAACACAUGCAAGUCGAACGAGAAAGUGGAGCAAUCCAUGAGUAAAGUGGCGCACGGGUGAGUAACACGUGACUAACCUACCCUUGAGUGGGGAAUAACCUGGAGAAAUCUAGGCUAAUACCGCAUAACACCUACGGGUCAAAGGAGCAAUUCGCUUAAGGAGGGGGUCGCGGCAGAUUAGCUUGUUGGCGGGGUAAUGGCCCACCAAGGCGGUGAUCUGUAUCCGGCCUGAGAGGGCGCACGGACACACUGGAACUGAAAUACGGUCCAGACUCCUACGGGAGGCAGCAGUGGGGAAUUUUGCGCAAUGGGGGAAACCCUGACGCAGCAACGCCGCGUGGAGGAUGAAGUCCCUUGGGACGUAAACUCCUUUCGAUCGGGACGAUUAUGACGGUACCGAGAGAAGAAGCCCCGGCUAACUUCGUGCCAGCAGCCGCGGUAAUACGAGGGGGGCGAGCGUUGUUCGGAAUUAUUGGGCGUAAAGGGUGCGUAGGCGGUUCGGUAAGUCUUAUGUGAAAUCUUCGGGCUCAACUCGAAGUCUGCAUGAGAAACUGCCGGGCUUGAGUGUGGGAGAGGUGAGUGGAAUUUCCGGUGUAGCGGUGAAAUGCGUAGAUAUCGGAAGGAACACCUGUGGCGAAAGCGGCUCACUGGACCAUAACUGACGCUGAUGCACGAAAGCUAGGGGAGCAAACAGGAUUAGAUACCCUAGUAGUCC